CCCUUAGAUGUUCUGGGCCGCACGCGCGCUACACUGACCAGUGCAACAAGCAUCCGUCCUUGGCCGACAGGCUCGGGCAAUCUUUGAACGCUGGUCGUGAUGGGGAUAGACUUUUGCAAUUUUUGGUCUUCAACGAGGAAUUCCUAGUAAACGCAAGUCAUCAACUUGCAUUGAUUACGUCCCUGCCCUUUGUACACACCGCCCGUCGCACCUACCGAUUGAAUGGUCCGGUGAAGCCUCCGGAUUGGCGCGCACCUCGGUGCCGCCGAGAAGUUGGCUAAACCUUACCAUUUAGAGGAAGGUGAAGUCGUAGCA
rnacentral:rRNA from 1 species